CUUCCCUAGCCUAUUUAUGAGUGUUAUAUGAAGCAUGGUUAAGAUAUAUGACACCUACUGCUUUUCCUUUGCCCACGAAGUCUAUGAUCAUGGGAAAUUAAAUAACUUUGACAGACAACUAAGAGCAGAGAAAGAUGCUAGUAGCUGUUGUGGCACAAACUGAUCAUGAAAUCCCAAACCUGAAAAUCCAAGACUUGUUUACCGAAUAGUAGGUCUCAGUUCUUGCUCCUUCUCUUCCAAAUGCCAUUUGCAUCCCUUAUCCUAGCUCAGAAAACUGCUGGUUUCUGCUCAGUUACUCCUAGUUGCCAUGCAAGAGCAUCAUGCAUCACACUGGGGAUGGGCAAUCUUUUUAAGGAGGAUCUGGGAGCACAUGGUUGCAGACGCUAAAGGAUUUUUUCUGUUUUGAGGUAUUGGCCAAGAAGACCCGAUAUAGGCAGCCCUUUCCUGGGUUUCCAGUCUGUACAUGCCUUCCUAGGCACCUCAAGGCUGUAAUUGUCGUGCUCAUGGGGAACGGAUUGAGCAUGAAACCUAACAGCAGGAUACAAAUGGUGGCAUUGCAGGUCUUUUGCAAGCCUUGCUGAAAGCUUUUUUGAAUAUUUGAUCUGGGGAAACUUCAACAUUUAAAAGGCAUUAUCUUGUGAAAAACAAUGGGUUUGUUACAGUUUCCUUCAAAGGCCUCAGUCCUUAAGUUCACUUAAUUGUCAGUUUGUUGCAAAUCAAGCUUCCUCAACUAUUACUCCAUCAAAAUCCUGCCAGAAGCAUCCUAUUUCUCUUACUCAGGCCAAAUGCUUUACUGCCCCAGUCUCAACUUCACCAGCCCCAGGCCUUUUCCAGUCUAAGUCCCAAGCCCUCCUCCUGGGCCAGCACUUGGAGAUCUCUCAAAAUGUCUUGUAUUCCUGAAUUGUUUUGCACAAGCUACACACUGGCUUCUCUGGAUGCUGGAGAGGACAAAUCUGUCUCACAGCAAGCUUCUGAUGCUUUAGCCUCACAGGGUCACCAUCACAAAAAGAAUAUGAAGCUACUCCAGCACAGACAGCAAGUCCUGAGAAAAUUUAGUUCUGCCGCAGCUUUGUGUUUAGCUCAGUCGACUUCUCUGAUGUAUAUGUACUGUGGUGGCUGAGCAAACUUCUGGUGCUAAUAGCCCCAUACCUUUCUGGAACUUAAUUUAGGAAGGCACCCACUGACCUUGGUCGUCCUAGGUACAGUGGCCUGUUCUGAUCAGUAGCAAGCCAAUGGUAAUGGGCUCUUUGCCCAAUUGCUCUUGCCACAUGGUCGUUGCGAUCACAUCCUGUCUUUUCACUACAGAUGGGUUCAUACUUUGAAAACUCUGCUUUUCAUUCUUCAAGCAUUUAUUACACAAUCAAAUUAAUCUCUGGUACUACUUCUUGAUCUAUAAAAGUCAUGUCUACAAAUUUUAGAAGUGUAAUUGGAGAUGGAGCAUGUUUUCCCACUAGGGAAAAUCCCAUUAGGGUUUACUUAUAUACUCAAAGUAGCUUCAGAAAUUUUUAGAGAACUUUACUUUUAAGGUAGAAAACAUCUCCAUAACUUGGCAGAACACACAUCUCAAGGAAGGGUUUAAAGGGAGAUGAUAGCAUUGCUGUAGAUUUUUUUAUGGACAGAUGCAGAAUGAAGAAAAGUCUCAUCCAUAAAUAACUCCCAGGCUUCAUGCAGUAGAAAUAUUACCACUUUUUCAGGUAAAACCAUAUUCAACAUAAAAAUUAUGCCUUGUCAUUUAUUCAGACAAUCUGAUUUAUAGGGACUGCUGUGUUCUGAUCAUGCAAUUGUUCUGAUUGCAUCCUUAUAUUCUCCAUAUAUUGCUCACAGUAUCUCACUUUGUGGCAAUAAAACCUUGGUGUGCAGCACUUUUAUCAGGCUUCCCCUCAUUUAUUGGGUAAAAGUUGAUUAAACCUA